GACCCCGCCCCGCCGGGUUGCUAGGGGAAGUGACGUCACAGCGCGAUGGCGGCGGCUCCUUUAGGCAGCUGAAAGGGGAUUUAGGCCCGGAAGAUCCGAGUCCAUCCGCGGCGGGGAGAGGGCAAGCGGGACCGGCAGGGGCCGGAGCAGCGGCGGCGGCGCUCGGACUGUCCCAUCCGCCCCGUAUUGAGGCGCUGGGAGUGGCGGGGCGGCGGGAAAGCGAUGGUGAAAUCGGGGCCGUGAGGGGGGCGGAGCCGGCAGCCGGACCCGCAGUAGCGGCAGCAGCGGCGCCGCCUCCCGGAGUUCAGACCCAGGAAGCGGCCGGGAGGGCAGGAGCGAAUCGGGCCGCUGCCGCCAUGGAGCUGAGAGUCGGGAACAGGUACCGGCUGGGCCGGAAGAUCGGCAGCGGCUCCUUCGGAGACAUCUAUCUCGGUACGGACAUUGCUGCAGGAGAAGAGGUUGCCAUCAAGCUUGAAUGUGUCAAAACCAAACACCCUCAGCUCCACAUUGAGAGCAAAAUCUACAAGAUGAUGCAGGGAGGAGUGGGCAUCCCCACCAUCAGAUGGUGCGGGGCAGAGGGGGACUACAACGUCAUGGUGAUGGAGCUGCUGGGGCCAAGCCUGGAGGACCUCUUCAACUUCUGCUCCAGGAAAUUCAGCCUCAAAACCGUCCUACUGCUUGCUGACCAAAUGAUCAGUCGCAUCGAAUACAUUCAUUCAAAGAACUUCAUCCACCGGGAUGUGAAGCCAGACAACUUCCUCAUGGGCCUAGGGAAGAAGGGCAACCUGGUGUACAUCAUCGACUUCGGGCUGGCCAAGAAGUACCGGGACGCACGCACCCACCAGCACAUCCCCUAUCGUGAGAACAAGAACCUCACAGGGACGGCGCGGUACGCCUCCAUCAACACGCACCUUGGAAUUGAACAGUCCCGAAGAGAUGACUUGGAGUCUCUGGGCUACGUGCUAAUGUACUUCAACCUGGGCUCUCUCCCCUGGCAGGGGCUGAAGGCCGCCACCAAGAGACAGAAAUAUGAAAGGAUUAGCGAGAAGAAAAUGUCCACCCCCAUCGAAGUGUUGUGUAAAGGCUACCCUUCUGAAUUUGCCACAUAUCUGAAUUUCUGCCGUUCCUUGCGUUUUGACGACAAGCCUGACUACUCGUACCUGAGGCAGCUUUUCCGGAAUCUGUUCCAUCGCCAGGGCUUCUCCUAUGACUACGUGUUCGACUGGAACAUGCUCAAAUUUGGUGCCAGCCGGGCCGCCGACGACGCCGAGCGGGAGCGCAGGGACCGAGAGGAGCGGCUGAGACACUCGCGGAACCCGGCUACCCGAGGCCUCCCUUCCACAGCCUCUGGCCGCUUGCGGGGGACGCAGGAAGUGGCUCCCCCCACACCCCUCACCCCUACCUCACACACAGCUAACACCUCCCCCCGGCCCGUCUCUGGCAUGGAGAGAGAGCGGAAAGUGAGUAUGCGGUUGCACCGCGGGGCCCCCGUCAACAUCUCCUCGUCCGACCUCACAGGCCGACAAGAUACCUCUCGCAUGUCCACCUCACAGGGAUGGAGGCCCGUAGGGACCUCCACGGGCUUCCUGUGAGACCCCCCCCAGUGGCAUGCCCUGCGACGAGGCUUUCCUUCUUUUGACGGACUCGCCUGUCUUCCCUUGGACGAGAAGUACCCUGUUGCGCAGCCCAGCCCAGGCCUGGCCACGGCCACCGCCUCUUCAGCAUCCUGCAGCGGCCUCUCCUCUCCUCGCUCUGGCUUCUGUUGUCUUUUGCAUUUGCUAACGUGCUCUUUGAACCAGAACAGCUUUCUCCAUAUGGAUCCAUUGUAUUUCUUCAAAUAGUUUUCUGGGUUGUUUGCCAACAGGGGCAGGGUUAGUGGGGCAGGGCAGUGUUUCACCAGCAGGCAUCCUGGGGCGUGCCCAGAUCCCUCACGGGUCUUCCGGAUGAGCAGGAACUCAGUUCAGAAACGCCCUGGAGCCUGGCUCUGGGCUUGUGGGGAGGUGUUUGUUGGGGUCACAGGAUGGAGCCAGGCCUGCUGCCACGACUGGGUGUAGCUGGCUAGCCAGGAACAUGCCAGAGUGGGGAGCACUCUUGACCACUUGCCGUCUCUCAAUGAUUGGGGUUACUGCACGUUUCUAAUUCACUAAUAAUUUUACUAGAAACGGACCUUUCAAAGAGACCAAAGAUGCAAGGAUUUUGGCUUCGUGGUUAUUUUGACUUCGUGGUUAUUUUGACUUUGUGGUUAUAUGAAUAGGGCUUGAGGGGUCUGGGCUGUGUCACGAGAGUGGGUCCCUUACGUGCGCACAGCCCUGCUGUCACUUCCAGACGCAGAAAGGGUUUAACUGGCUUCUUUCCACGAGCCUGGCACUUGUGCAUCAGUUACCGUGAGCAGGUCCCAGGAGGGUCUGCCCGUGCCCUCGUGUCUGACACGCGGCUGGCCCUGUAGCCCCUGAACCAUGGUGCGGGAGCCAAGAGUGCUCCCUGUGCUGGGCGCUGACUGGACUUGGACGGCCUCGGCCCCGGCGCUUGGCCAACAAAGACUAGGGAAGGGGCCUGAGUGCUUCUUGUUUGUUUUAAAGAAAGUAAAGUGUCUAGUGGUUUGGGAUCUUUGUGGGCAGUGAAGGUGUCCUGAUCGGGCUGAGCAGCCACAGCCCUGAGUCCAGCUGCCUCUUCUCGGUACACGGCCCGGGCGGCACCUGGGUGUGGCCGUUCUAGCCACCAGCCCCCAAGGUGGCCGUGAGUAGUGUUUCCUUCCAUGGUGAGCUGUGGCAGGAACCCACAGCUGGCUCUUAGGCCCUCGUUUUCCAUAUGAGGAAAUACCAUAUGGGCUCUAACAGCUGGGAGGAGUCUCCAGAGAGAGCUGGUUUGGGGGUGUGUUCUCUCCAAAAGAAGCCUCUUGGCCUCUGCUCCUGGACACCCUGGGGGGGCCUUCCUGAGAGGCAUGUUGAGGGCUCCCCACCUCCAGGGCGGGCCCCCUCCUUCAUCACCAUCUCACUGGAAGGCUUUGGCUGUGUCCCCUUCCUGCCAGACUCUGCCAGCACCAGCACACGUGGUGGCUGUGACCGGCAGCCCCCGUUUUGAAUCCCAAGGGGGAAUACAGGAGGCUCAAUUGCUCUGAGCGCCUUACCUGUUCGCUCAGGUGAGCUGGAGAGACAGUCACCGUGGGCAGUGACUCAUCCCUGGCCAGUCUUCCUCCUCGGGCCAUCGCUCUUCGCUAUUCUUUCUGCUCCUCUCAGGAGACCUUUCGCCCCGUGGAGAUGGGAGGAGGCAGCAGGAAGGUCUCUCAGGGCUUGCUGGCCAUGGCUGGGUGUGGAUGGGUGGAGGACCCCGUGGCAGCCUGUCUGUGGGUCACACAGGCCCCCACAGUUGUAGGACCCCGCCCCGGCCUGGACUCUGCCUGGGUCUGUUCCUUCUUCGCCCCCUCUUCUCGGCUGUUGGUGUUCGGCCAGGGCUCUUUGGCCACAGUAGCCUGGGCCCUAAAGGCCAUCUAGUUGCUGAGUCUGUGUGGGGUUUUUACUUUGUGAGAAGAAGGCUUCGUCAUUCCAACAGUCCAUGACUCGCUUUGAUCAACCCCUGCCCAGGACUAGGCCUGAGCCCUGUCGUCGUACCGGCGAGGAUGUGCGUCUCCCCUGCCUGCAGGCUGUGCCCUGGGACCCAGUUGUGGGGCUGCCCAGCACCUGCCAUCCUGCUGGGAGUCAGGUUUUCUUAGUGCUUGAGAAGACUCAGGAGGGCCUGUCCCGUGCCCUUGUUGGCCUUAAGAGCAAGUGAUACCAGAAGAGGAGUGGGCGCCACUCUCACCCAGAGGCUCGUCCUGAGAGGCAAGUGAGGCUGUGCUCCGUGCCUGGGCUCCCCCAGGCGGCACCUGUCGGUCUGUGGACCUGGCUGAGGCAAGGACACCCAUCUGGACAUGGAGCCGACACAGGUAGUCAGGGGGCCGGCGGGACGCUUACCAACAGCUGUCUUUUCCCCACCUCAGAAUAGCAUUCCUUUCGAACACCACGGCAAGUAGCUGCUCGUCUCCCAUCGGAAGGCAGCACUGGAUUCCUGGUCGGGUGGCUUCCAGUGGUCUUCAGUCUGUCGUGCACCGAUGAGAACUCUCCUUAUUGCUGUGAAGGGCAGACAAUGCAUGGCUGAUCUACUCUGUUACCAAUGGCUUUACUAGUGACGCGUCCCCCGGUCUAGGAUCUGAAUGUUAACACCGGGAGCUCUCCAGGCCACUCACCCAGCGACGCUCAUGGGGGAAACAUACUAAACGGACAGACUCCAAGAGCUGCCACCGCUGGGGCUGCACUGCGGCCCCCCCACGUGAACUCGGUUGUAAUGGGGCUGGGAAGAAAAGCAGGGAGAGAGUUGCAGGAAUCAGACUCCCUUUCCAGGGCCUCAGCUCCCUCCAGUGGUGGCCGCCCUGUACUCCCUGACGAUUCCACUGUAACUACCAAUCUUCUACUUGGUUAAGACAGUUUUGUAUCAUUUUGCUAAAAAUUAUUGGCUUAAAUCUGUGUAAAGAAAAUCUGUCUUUUUAUUGUUUCUUGUCUGUUUUUGCAGUCUUACAAAAAAAUGUUGACUCUAAGGAAUUCUGAGACAGAUGCUGGCUUGGAGUUUGUGUACAAGGUGGAGUCAGGCAGGGAGAGGGUGCAGGCGGAUCUCAAGGUUGUGUGCUGUGUUUGUUUUGCAGUGUUUUAUUGUCCACUUUGGAGAGGAGAUUUCUCAUCAGAAGUCUGUGGUGUGUGUGCGUGCCCGUGUGUGGUGGGACCUCUUCAACCUGAUUUUGGCGUCUCACCCUCCCUCCUCCCGUAACUGACAUGCCUGCUGUCAGGAACUCUUGAGGCCCUCGGAGAGCAGUUAGGGACCGCAGGCUGCCGCGGGGCAGGGGUGCAGUGGGUGUUACCAGGCAAAGCACUGCGUGCUUCUUCCCCAGGAGGUGGGCAGGCAGCUGAGAGCUUGGAAGCAGAGGCUUUGAGACCCUAGCAGGACAAUUGGGAGUCCCAGGAUUCAAGGUGGAAGAUGCGUUUCUGGACCCUUGGGAGAGGAUUGUGAACCGAGAGGUGGUUACUAUAGUGUUUGUUGCCUUGCUGCCUUUGCACUCGGUCCAUUUUCUCAACACUCAGUGCUCCUGUGCGGAUUGGCACUCGGUCUGUGUGAAUGCUGUGCUUAAAACCAGGAGCGGGGCUGUCCUUGCCAGGUGCCAAGACUAGCUCAGAAAAGCCGGCAGGCCAGAAGGACCCACGCUGAGGUGCCAAGGAGCAGGUGACUCUCCCAACCCAACCCAGAACCUUCACGGCCAGGAAGUAGAGUCUGCGCUCUGUGACUUUGUUGGGUGCGUGUCUGUUGGUCAGAAGUGAAGCAGCGUGCGUCGGGCCGAGUCCCACCAGAAGGCAGGUGGCCUCCGUGAGCUGGUGCUGCCCGAGACUCUAUGCUGCUGUGCCCUGAGGUUCCCAAGAUGCCUUCUCGCCUCUCACUCCGCAGCACUUGGGCGGCAGCCAGUGGCCGCGUGCUCCCAACCCCGAUGCGCAGUGCAGUCUGUGUUCAUGGGCACUUCGGCUGGACCCCAUCACGAUGGGCGAUGUUCCCUUUGGACUCUAGGGCCCCGAAGGUGUGCACCCUGGUUCUUCCUUCUCCCCAGAGUUCCCCGGACGCCAUAGCUGGCUGGCGUCCCAGAACACAGUUGUUCACCCCGCAGCUGGCUGACCAUCUGCCCGAGCCUGUUGAUGCUUUCUGAAUCUAGGCUGGUUACUGUGUAAGCAUUUUGGAAUACGGGGCCUUGAGCGGGUGGGAACUGUGUGUUGAAGUACAGAGGGAGGUCGGGGUGGGUCAGAGCCGAGUUAAGAGAUUUUCUUUGUUGCUGGACCCUUUCUUGAAGGCAGACGUCCCCCGCCCGGAGAGACGUUGAGGCUGUGGCCUGAAGUGACGCAAGCUUGCUUUGUAAAUACCCGUGGUCCCGAUGUAGUGCCCAGAACGUUUGUGCGAGGCAGCUCUGCGCCUGGGUUCCAGCCCGAGCCUUGCCGGGUUGCAUCUUUGGAGUGUGCUUGUGACAGUCCUUGCCCAGUAUCUAGUCCCCGUUGCCCCGUGCAGGAAACGUAGGUAGGACGUCAUGUCAGCUGUGCACUGGCGGCCAGUCUCUGAGCUGUGCGUUUGUAUCGCCACUGUAUUUGUGUACUUUAACAAUUGUGUAAAUAAUAAAUUCACAAUGACUUCUACCUUUC